CGGGGCUAAUACCGGAUAAUACAUGAAACCGCAUGGUUUCAUGAUGAAAGACGGUUUUGCUGUCACUUAUAGACGGACCCGCGGCGUAUUAGCUAGUUGGUAAGGUAACGGCUUACCAAGGCAACGAUGCGUAGCUGACCUGAGAGGGUGAUCGGCCACACUGGAACUGAGACACGGUCCAG
rnacentral:rRNA from 1 species